rnacentral:rRNA from 1 species
UACAGAGGUCCCAAGCGUUACUGAGAAUCACUGGGUUUAAAGGGUGCGUAGGUGGUCCGUUAAGUCAGUUGUGAAAUCCCCGGGCUCAACCCGGGAACUGCUUCUGAUACUGGCGGACUUGAGGCCAGUAGGGGUCACUAGAACUGACGGUGGAGCGGUGAAAUGCGUAGAUAUCGUCAGGAAUGCCGGUGGUGAAGACGGGUGACUGGGCUGGUUCUGACACUUGAGGCACGAAAAGCGUGGGGAGCGAACGGGG